AUAAGGGUCAAUGAAAAAAAUGGU
rnacentral:siRNA from 1 species